CUACAAUAUACAAUGUAAUAUAUCAAAAAAGCUACAGAUGCAGUAGUAAACUCAUUGAAUUUAAAUCAGCCUUGAUGAUAAAUAUAUAUACAUUCACACAAUUAGGAUAGACACAGCCCAAAAAAAACCUGCCUAAUCUUUACUAAAUGUUAACAUAUUACAUCUCCCAAAAACCUAAACUUCCAUAAAUUACUCAUUAAGCAAAAGUGUAAGAAAAAAAUCAUUGACACCAUAGCAACGGCAGAUCCUACAGCAACCAAAACACCCGACUGUGAAGACCUGCAAACACCAUAAAAAAACAUAGAGAAGCACCCAGGUGAGCAGAUCUUGCAAAGUUAGGCGCAUGAGGGGACUAAAGAGAAAAGGGCAAGAUGAACUAAGGCAAAGGAUGCAGCAGACAAGAAUACCUGAAAAAAAUAAGAUGCCAGGAAAUCCAAUCCAACAGCAACCAAACCGCCCGAUU
rnacentral:rRNA from 1 species